rnacentral:rRNA from 1 species
UACGAAGGGGGCUAGCGUUGCUCGGAAUCACUGGGCGUAAAGCGCACGUAGGCGGACUCUUAAGUCGGGGGUGAAAUCCUGGAGCUCAACUCCAGAACUGCCUUCGAUACUGGGGAGUCUUGAGUUUCGGGGAGAGGGUGAGUGGAACUUGCGAGUGUAGAGGUGAAAAUUUCGUAGAUAUUUCGCAAGAACACCAGUGGCGAAGGCGGCUCACUGGCCCGAUACUACGCUGAGGUGCGAAAGCGUGGGGGAGCAAACAGG